GAAGAUGUGGCUCAGUGGUAGAGCAUACAUUUGCCUAGUUCAUGUGAGAUCUUGGCUUUGAUUUCCAGCACCAUUA
rnacentral:tRNA from 1 species